rnacentral:rRNA from 1 species
UGGGGAAUAUUGGACAAUGGGGGCAACCCUGAUCCAGCAAUGCCGCGUGUGUGAAGAAGGUCUUCGGAUUGUAAAGCACUUUCGACGGGGACGAUGAUGACGGUACCCGUAGAAGAAGCCCCGGCUAACUUCGUGCCAGCAGCCGCGGUAAUACGAAGGGGGCUAGCGUUGCUCGGAAUGACUGGGCGUAAAGGGCGUGUAGGCGGUUUACACAGUCAGAUGUGAAAUCCCCGGGCUUAACCUGGGAGCUGCAUUUGAUACGUGUAGACUAGAGUGUGAGAGAGGGUUGUGGAAUUCCCAGUGUAGAGGUGAAAUUCGUAGAUAUUGGGAAGAACACGGUGGCGAAGGCGGCAACCUGGCUCAUGA